GGACAGGCUAUCUGUUUUAUAACCUUCAGAGGCAAGAGAUCUGUUCUUAGUUUAACAUCGCCCUCAAGAGAAAUUGUUGGUCUCGAAAUCAACUGUUCACAGGGUAGAAUGGGACUCAAGCUGUUGUUAUAAGGAUUCCUCUGGAAGCCUUCAAGUGCUCUGCAUGUGUCUCCCAUCAAGCUGAAAGUUUUUAUCCCUUUAUUUGAUCCGAUGGACAUGUUGUAUAUGCAAGUCAAAUAUUGUACUAGAAUUUAUUUUUACCUAGAUAUAUCCAUACAUUUUUUGGUUCACAUCAAUUGUUUUGGAGCUUGGAGAUGAAAACUUACGUUUGUAGGAAGAAGCUUAUCCCAAAAAGCAACCAACAGAAGAAAGUUAACAUCCAGCUAACUGCUAUUAAUCUGCAAUGGGGGCCUCUGAAAGCUUGAAACUCCAAGAGCUGUAAUAACAAGAGCAUUUUGUGAAGAAAAGGAAAAUGCAGGAAAGAAAGCUCGAUUGUUAUGACUAUUGACAAAUUUUUUUAACAGAAGAUUGAUUUGUUUUAACACAACUCAUCUUUGGAAGCAGGGUGCUCAUUUGGCCUUACCUAAGAGAGAGAUUACGACAAGUAGUAUGCGCCAUCUGCUGUGUCAAGAAGAAUUUCUACCACUAUCUUUGCUCUGGAAUGGGACUUUGAAUUACCUCCAAAAGCCAAGCCAGAGGCCGCUCUGAAAUGAUAGCAGCAGGUAUGAUGUUUUUUUGUGUAAUUAGGACUUCUCGUUUUGAAACACAACUUCUACAGCUGCUUCGCUUCUAAUGACUGUUGUUGCCAUGUACUCCCUCCGUCCCGGACUACUCGCACAUUUCCUUUUCGGCACGGAGAUUAAGGAAUGAGUGUAUAGCAAAGUCAACAAUUGCGGCUGUAGGUGAUAAUUUUUACUAAAAAUGGAAAGAGUGCAAAUAACUUGGGACGCCCAGAAAGGAAAUAAGUGCAAGUAGUCCGGGACGGAGGGAGUAAUAAAGAGUAACCUGAUGUGCCUAUUACUUACACUGCAAGGAGCGUACAGAAACUAGCCAAUAUAAUAGGUUGUAAAUGGUACUGCUCAUAACACGAUGAUUUGUUCUUGCGCUUUCUGCUCGUUUUGAAGCAAUCAGUUCUUACUAAAAGAAGAAUUCCAUAUCCUAGACCGCAUAGGAGCCAUAUUAGUGCAACAGCAUACCCGGGUAUGCCUGUAAAUGCCGUUGACUGCACAACAGAACAUAUGCUGUAAAAUGACGUCACCUCUCAUUUUCUGUUAAGAUGAAAGGGGUGGGAGCAAUAUCUAUAUACCAAUACUUACACUCCAGUAAUGGUCAUUUGUAACGUUAUAUCCUCCUCUGUAUUUCUUCAAUAAAUUUAAAGGGUCUGCUCUAACGGUUUCUUUCAUAUAUGUCGUCCCUACUGAGGUCAUGUUCGAUCCUGUUAAAAUUCGUCCUGAAAGGUUGAAAGCUUUCAUGCAAAGUUUAUAAAAGAGUUUUUGCAGAGGUUAAAAGCUCCUAAAGUAGAGAAGCAAAGGAAGAGAUGAAUCAGUCACCUGCUUCGGAGCUGGAAACUCCUGUGAAGCUCAACGCAAGCAUUCCUAGAAUCACAUGCUUUGCCAUUCUUGUUCCGCGAAAGGUUCCCAUUUCUUCUACCUAUCACUGAUUUUCUGCCUAUAUUUAAUUGUUUGGAUAGGAAAUUUAGAGGAUCUUUUCCUCCCCAACUUAGACCAUGAGAAAUAUAGAAAUGCGUGCUCAGAGUUUUCCAUCACUCAGAGUAAAUUGGAGACAAGCUAACUCUAUUUAGGGGGCGUUUACUCUGUGGGAUAUGAUUUAUAUAUAGAUGAAGACAAAGUGUACUUUUAAUGUGAGAUACAGAGACUGAGCCAUACUAGGUGAAAGCCCGACUUAGAAAGAAAAAAAAAUGUUAAGGAAAACAGCUUAUAGCUUUAUGGAAUUAGGUAGUAUGGCAUAUUGUAGAUAAUUCACCAAUACGAGGUGCUUGUAACGUGCUUCAUUUAUGCUUCUACUUAGAAAGAAAUUGAUAGGAGUUGAUGGUCGUCGAUUUAGGUGAUUGAACAUUUUUCUCGUGUUCAAGCUUAGGUGCAGAAAAUUGGGAGUAUGAAGUGAGUAGGAACGAAUCCGUAGAUAUGCCUAUUAAUGGUAUUUUGGUAGUUGAUGCAAUCUAUUAAUGGUAUGUUGCCAUGUUGGUACAUAGAUGCUAUAAUAAAUGGUGUUUAAUUUGCAUUAUACGUCAUCAAUGCAUGCCACGUGUAUAGAUAUUGAAAGAAGGAAGCAGUCAAAAAACUCACUCGGAAAAGAACUGCUACUCCUUUUUCCUCUGAGCUCGCGUUUCUUGUCGUUGAUUAUGAAGUUUUGCUCAGGGAAGCUGAUGUGAGUACCUUCGAAUAGAAUAAAAUGGGUAGGAAUUGAUCAAUGUAUUCCAUCGAUCCAGUUAAACUGGAAUCGAUAGAAGAUCUUCAUUUUUCAUAAAAAAUGAAAAAAGAAAAGGGACAAAUAUUAUCACUGGCCAUUCCUUAUAUUUUUUUAGGGGAGAGGUUUAUGCAUGAUGAAGAAAAGCUACAAAUAGAAUUAUUAACAACUAAAUAUUAUUGUUAUUAUUGUAAUUUAGUGUGUAAUUUGCGUCGCAUUUGCUCUGUGUGUCCUUUUCUCAGUUUUGACUUUUAAAAGUAAGUCAGUUAAAAUGUUUUCUAUGUUUCCGACCGGAAAAUGUGUUAAAAACUGGUUAAAACAUCUUUCGAUUUUUAAGGAUUUUGUAAUAUAUUCAGUACUUGAAUUUGUUGGAUUGUAUUGUAA